AAUGAGGAUUUUAAAUGUGUGCGUGAUUGGACAUUCUCACAUCAGAAGAUUAAUAGAUUGUGGUAUGCAGACAGAAACAGACAAUCUAAAUUUGGACCCUGAAGUGUUUAAAGUAUCAUUUAGAGGAAAAGGCGGUUUGAGAUUAAACAAGCGUGUCUUCAGAUCGGAGAUUCUGCAUUUUGACUCAAUUCCCGAUGUGGUGUUUUUACAGAUUGGUGAAAAUGAUAUCUGUGAAAAUACAAACAGUGAGAAAUUAGCCAGGGAUAUUAUAUCUGUGGGACAGUAUUUAAGAGAUGGGGUUGGAGUAAAGGUAGUGAUAAUAGGCCAGUUAAUUCGCCGAAUGCAGUUUGCAUCAUGCCAAAAUUUUAACGUCUUUGUGGUUCAGACUAAUGAACAUUUGAAACGUUUUGCUGAGCCACUUGGUGGAAUUUAUUUCUGGGGACAUCGGGGUUUUUGGAAGGAUUUUCAUUAUUUAGGCCCGGAUGGUGUCCAUCUGCUGUGUACCCCUGCCGAGGACCAGCCCAUGAGGAAGUUUCGCCGCAGCAUUAGGAAUGCGGUGAUCCUGCACUCAAAAGUUUUGAGGCCACCAUUAUGCCACCCAAAAAGAGAGCCAGGAGAGAUGAUGUGGCAACUGGAGGAUUACCACCAACAACACCACCAACUGAAGUAAAUAAGGGGAAAAAAGGGCCAAAAAGAACCCGAAAACAGUCGGAGAAUGACACUGUCAAGGUGCUACCAAAUAUUGAUUAUGAACUUCUGGCAAAAGAAAUUGUAAACCAACAAAAAGCUGAUAGUGAGAAACAAAACGUGUUGGGCAACCUCCGAUGGUGAAUUCUGUUGAGGAUACUGCACCAGUAGUUGGGGAAGCUAUACCGGCCGCUGCCACAAUUCCUGCCUCUGCGGCUGCCACAAUUCCUGCCUCUGCACUUGGAACAUUACUGGAUAAUGUGUUCACAGGUGAGCCCGCAGGCAAUUUAUCGCGGAGUACUGGUAGUAGUUUUGCAUGCUCUAGUAGCCCUCAAAUUCACUUAUCAGAUUGUGUGCCUCUAGGGGCAUCAGUUUCCUCAAAACUGAAACUUAAAAUUUGGAACAAUGAAUUUGUUGACUUAAAAAAUUUAUUGCCGACCUCAGGAGAGGAACCCCUUUCAAUUGUGGUACAAGCGGGUAAAAUUGAGCUACAACAAGCGGCUUCACAUAAAACACCUAUUACAAUCCAUCAAUGGACAGAUGCUUUUCUGGUAUUCAGUACAAUUUACUUACAGAAAUUUCCCCAUGAGGCAUGCAAUCUGUUAAAAUACAUGUUUACAAUAAGGGAGAUUCACAAGCUUCAUGGGGACCAACCCUGGAGAAUGUAUGAUGAGUCAUUUAGGAAAAUAAGAGAGACAUCCCUCCUGCCGUGGGAGAGAGUAGUAACAGAGUUGCGACUUAAGGUAGCCUCUAUGGGUUAAAGUCUCCUACCCAAUUUCAAGCUUAUAAUGGACCCCAAUAGACAUAAAGGGCACAGUUUUCGGAUAGGGGCAGCAACACAUGCUGCACAGUUAGGCUAUUAUGAGAGUUUUAUUCAGCAUUUAGGCCGCUGGAACUCCAAUGCAUUACACAGAUAUAUUAGAAUACAAUCGUUUCAACUGUAAUUAUUUGUAUCUACAAUCUUUCUUACCCCUGCAAUUUAUUUAUAGCAGGCCAGUGAGUAACUGCUGCUAUUGAUCUGUACCAAAAAAUGUCCUUAUGUUUGUUACUUUUUUCCAUAAGAGAAUCUUGUGCGUAAAAUACGGAGGGUGUCUCAAUUAAUUUUGUUAGUUAUAGUAUGUUUACAGGUGUAGUAAUGUGUAAUGAUAGGUCAGUGUUUAACUGCUAUUUUGUAGUUGCACAUUGUGUCUUUAGAUAUUGUUAGUACAACUUUUAAGUUAGUUUAUUAGAGUGCCUGCGGGUUUCACCUUGGAAUUGCCAUUCAUGUUACGUUUGUACGGGUUAUAGUAUAAUGAAUUAUAUGCACUUAUUGCCAGGUCAGUGUGUAACUGCUGGUAACACUAUGCCAAGUCAGUGUUUAACUGUUGGUACAUUUGACUAUAAACUGUGAUUUGUGUAUGUGUUCACAUCAGCAUCAACAAGUGCACAACUCACCUUGGAUGGCACAAUGGAAUUGCCAAUUGUCAUUAUGCAAUUCACAUUUGGUGGCAUAUUUUAUUUUUGAGGUGCCAUCUUUUUGCUGGUUUUGUAUAUAUUGUAUAUAAUUUUGAACAAAAUAUUGUUUUUCUGUAUUUUAAGGGGAUCAGCAUAUUGAUAAGUUAUUUAACAUUUUGUGUGAACAGCUUUGGGUCUGAUCCCCUACUAUGUUGUUUAUAUUUUUCUUUACUUUCGUCAUUUUUAAUAAAUGACAUAUUUCAUCAUGCACAAGUGUUGAGUUCAUUUAUCAGACAGCAAAAACCGAGCUGCGGUGGGGUUGUGCAGCAUGAGAAAACAUAAAACAACAAUUAUGUUAAUAAUUGUAUUUAUGUGUUGAAUGCUAUAAUUUUAUUUGCUUAUUUAUUGUAUUUUUCAUGUAUAUGUUUGAUUAGAUAAGUUGCAUUUCUUUCCCAGGCCUAGUAGUGGUCGUUGGCCAUAUUAUGUAAUUUCCCUGCAGUGGUCACUGUCCAUGUCUAUUUUUAGCCCAAAUUCUUAGUCUAAAAACCUCCAAGUGACCUAUCAUGUAAUUGAUAAAAAUCCAAUGGUGAAAUUCUCCCCAAAUUUAAUUUAAUAGCCAAUCAAAUUAAGCGAUACGGUAACGUGGUUUGAUGCGGUCAGUAUCUGACCGGUGAGAUUAGGGUCAUUCUGUCUUCAUCUCUGAUAGUGUUAGCACGAGUAAUGUUUUGAUACACCCACCACCAUCCCCGUUUCACCACUCCAAUAUUCGAAAGUUGCAUACAUGUACAAAAUAUUGUUCUUUUGCAUUGGCAUAUUUUAUUGGCAUAUUUUAUUUUUGAGGUGCCAUCUUUUUGCUGGUUUUGUAUAUAUUGUAUAUAAUUUUGAACAAAAUAUUGUUUUUCUGUAUUUUAAGGGGAUCAGCAUAUUGAUAAGUUAUUUAACAUUUUGUGUGAACAGCUUUGGGUCUGAUCCCCUACUAUGUUGUUUAUAUUUUUCUUUACUUUCGUCAUUUUUAAUAAAUGACAUAUUUCAUCAUG
rnacentral:misc_RNA from 1 species